AACGGUCUAUACCUGCGGUACCUGCGGAGGGAUCAUUACCGAGUUUACAACUCCCAAACCCACUGUGAACCUAUACCUCGUACCGUUGCUUCGGCGGGUUCUCUUUCGCCCCGGAACCAGGUCUUCCCCCCCUUCCCCAGGGGGGGGCGGCCAGGACCGGAACCAGGCGCCCGCCGGGGGACCCAAACUCUUGUAUUUCGAACUUUUGGAACGUCUGAGUGGAAUCAUUUUACACAAUGA
rnacentral:misc_RNA from 1 species